AGCGGCGGACGGGUGAGUAACACGUGGGUAACCUGCCUGUAAGACUGGGAUAACUCCGGGAAACCGGGGCUAAUACCGGAUGCUUGAUUGAACCGCAUGGUUCAAUCAUAAAAGGUGGCUUUUAGCUACCACUUACAGAUGGACCCGCGGCGCAUUAGCUAGUUGGUGAGGUAACGGCUCACCAAGGCGACGAUGCGUAGCCGACCUGAGAGGGUGAUCGGCCACACUGGGACUGAGACACGGCCCAGACUCCUACGGGAGGCAGCAGUAGGGAAUCUUCCGCAAUGGACGAAAGUCUGACGGAGCAACGCCGCGUGAGUGAUGAAGGUUUUCGGAUCGUAAAACUCUGUUGUUAGGGAAGAACAAGUACCGUUCGAAUAGGGCGGUACCUUGACGGUACCUAACCAGAAAGCCACGGCUAACUACGUGCCAGCAGCCGCGGUAAUACGUAGGUGGCAAGCGUUGUCCGGAAUUAUUGGGCGUAAAGCGCGCGCAGGCGGUUUCUUAAGUCUGAUGUGAAAGCCCCCGGCUCAACCGGGGAGGGUCAUUGGAAACUGGGGAACUUGAGUGCAGAAGAGGAGAGUGGAAUUCCACGUGUAGCGGUGAAAUGCGUAGAGAUGUGGAGGAACACCAGUGGCGAAGGCGACUCUCUGGUCUGUAACUGACGCUGAGGCGCGAAAGCGUGGGGAGCGAACAGGAUUAGAUACCCUGGUAGUCCACGCCGUAAACGAUGAGUGCUAAGUGUUAGAGGGUUUCCGCCCUUUAGUGCUGCAGCAAACGCAUUAAGCACUCCGCCUGGGGAGUACGGUCGCAAGACUGAAACUCAAAGGAAUUGACGGGGGCCCGCACAAGCGGUGGAGCAUGUGGUUUAAUUCGAAGCAACGCGAAGAACCUUACCAGGUCUUGACAUCCUCUGACAACCCUAGAGAUAGGGCUUCCCCUUCGGGGGCAGAGUGACAGUGGUGCAUGGUUGUCGUCAGCUCGUGUCGUGAGAUGUUGGGUUAAGUCCCGCAACGAGCGCAACCCUUGAUCUUAGUUGCCAGCAUUCAGUUGGGCACUCUAAGGUGACUGCCGGUGACAAACCGGAGGAAGGUGGGGAUGACGUCAAAUCAUCAUGCCCCUUAUGACCUGGGCUACACACGUGCUACAAUGGGCAGAACAAAGGGCAGCGAAGCCGCGAGGCUAAGCCAAUCCCACAAAUCUGUUCUCAGUUCGGAUCGCAGUCUGCAACUCGACUGCGUGAAGCUGGAAUC
rnacentral:rRNA from 1 species